GUGUCAGCCGCCGCGGUAAUACAGAGGUGGCAAGCGUUGUUCGGAAUUACUGGGCGUAAAGGGCGCGUAGGCGGUCUCGUAAGUCCCGCGUGAAAUCCCCCGGCUCAACUGGGGAAUGGCGCGGGAAACUGUGAGGCUUGAGUUCGGGAGAGGGAAGCGGAAUUCCGGGUGUAGCGGUGAAAUGCGUAGAUAUCCGGAGGAACACCGGUGGCGAAGGCGGCUUCCUGGACCGACACUGACGCUGAGGCGCGAAAGCUAGGGGAGCAAACGGGAUUAGAUACCCUUGUAGUCC
rnacentral:rRNA from 1 species